rnacentral:rRNA from 1 species
AGAGUUUGAUCAUGGCUCAGGAUGAACGCCAGCUACAGGCUUAACACAUGCAAGUCGAGGGGCAGCAUGUUGGUUGCUUGCAACCAACGAUGGCGACCGGCGCACGGGUGAGUAACGCGUAUCCAACCUACCCUUGUCCAUCGGAUAACCCGUCGAAAGGCGGCCUAACACGAUAUGCGGUUCACAGCAGGCAUCUAACGUGAACGAAAUGUAAAGGAGAAGGAUGGGGAUGCGUCUGAUUAGCUUGUGGCGGGUAACGCCACAAGGCUACGAUCAGUAGGGUUCUGAGAGGAAGGUCCCCCACAUUGGAACUGAGACACGGUCCAAACUCCUACGGGGAGCA